GACGAACGCUGGCGGCGUGCUUAACACAUGCAAGUCGAACGAGGCCCUCCCUUCGGGGAGGUGUCCUAGUGGCGAACGGGUGAGUAACACGUGGGCAGCCUGCCCCCGGCUCUGGGAUAACUCCAAGCAAUUGGGGCUAAUACCGGAUAUGACCGCUGACCGCAUGGUCUGGUGGUGGAAAGUUUUUCGGCUGGGGAUGGGCCCGCGGCCUAUCAGCUUGUUGGUGGGGUAGUGGCCUACCAAGGCGACGACGGGUAGCCGGCCUGAGAGGGGGACCCGCAACACUGGGGCUGAGACACGGCCCAGACUCCUACGGGAGGCAGCAGUGGGGAAUAUUGCGCAAUGGGCGGAAGCCUGACGCAGCGACGCCGCGUGGGGGAUGACGGCCUUCGGGUUGUAAACCUCUUUCAGCAGGGACGAAGCGAAAGUGACGGUACCUGCAGAAGAAGCACCGGCCAACUACGUGCCAGCCGCCGCGGUAA
rnacentral:rRNA from 1 species